GAUGAACGCUGGCGGCGUGCCUAAUACAUGCAAGUCGAGCGAACAGACGAGGAGCUUGCUCCUCUGACGUUAGCGGCGGACGGGUGAGUAACACGUGGAUAACCUACCUAUAAGACUGGGAUAACUUCGGGAAACCGGAGCUAAUACCGGAUAAUAUAUUGAACCGCAUGGUUCAAUAGUGAAAGACGGUUUUGCUGUCACUUAUAGAUGGAUCCGCGCCGCAGUAGCUAGUUGGUAAGGUAACGGCUUACCAAGGCAACGAUGCGUAGCCGACCUGAGAGGGUGAUCGGCCACACUGGAACUGAGACACGGUCCAGACUCCUACGGGAGGCAGCAGUAGGGAAUCUUCCGCAAUGGGCGAAAGCCUGACGGAGCAACGCCGCGUGAGUGAUGAAGGUCUUCGGAUCGUAAAACUCUGUUAUUAGGGAAGAACAAAUGUGUAAGUAACUAUGCACGUCUUGACGGUACCUAAUCAGAAAGCCACGGCUAACUACGUG
rnacentral:rRNA from 1 species